GACGAACGCUGGCGGCGUGCUUAACACAUGCAAGUCGAACGGAAAGGCCCUGCUUUUGUGGUGUUCUCGAGUGGCGAACGGGUGAGUAACACGUGAGUAACCUGCCCUUGACUUUGGGAUAACUUCAGGAAACUGGGGCUAAUACCGUAUAGGAGCUCCUGCUGCAUGGUGGGGGUGGGAAAGUUUCGGCGGUUGGGGAUGGACUCGCGGCUUAUCAGCUUGUUGGUGGGGUAGUGGCUUACCAAGGCUUUGACGGGUAGCCGGCCUGAGAGGGUGACCGGCCACCUUGGGACUGAGAUACGGACCAGACGCCUACGGGAGGCAGCAGUGGGGAAUAUUGCACAAUGGGCGGAAGCCUGAUGCAGCAACGCCGCGUGCGGGAUGACGGCCUUUGGGGUGUAAAAAGCUUUAGCCUGUGACGAAGCGUGAGUGACGGUAAUGGGUAAAGAAGCACCGGCUAACUACGUG
rnacentral:rRNA from 1 species